AAAAUGACUCUCGGCAACGGAUAUCUAGGUUCUCGCAUCGAUGAAGAACGUAGCGAAAUGCGAUACUUAGUGUGAAUUGUAGAAUCCCGUGAACCAUCGAGUUUUUGAAUGCAAGUUGCGCCCGAAGCCAUUAGGCUGAGGGCACGUCUGCCUGGGCGUCA
rnacentral:rRNA from 1 species